UGACAUCCUUUAAUAACCUAAUUCAUAUACAGGAUUUUAUGUGCUUACCAAUUAAGGGAGCACUUGUGUAUGUACAGAAAGAAUGCAGAUGGCUCUGUGGUCUUAGUUUGCCAUUUUUACAUUCUUGAUGGUCGCUUAGAAUGAAGAUUUUAUACGUUUACUUAUAUGUGUGGACGUAUAGUUUUCUGCAUGUCUUUGACUCUGUCUGAAUGGGUUGGAAGUCUAAUGCACUGAACUAUUGCAGAUGCAUAAAGUAUCAUCGAAACUUGAGAUUCUUGGAUGACAUCAGCACCCUAAUCUAACUGGUCCAUUCUUAAAGGUCACUUCUGAAUUAUGCAUAUCCACUUUGUGCUAAGGUUUACAAUAAUUAAUGACUUUCUGUUGAGAGGUUUAUAGUACUUUGCAUUGCUGUAAGAUUUUUGUUAUUAUGACCAUUCUGUUGAGUAUCUUUGCUCAUUGAGCUCUUUGGUGAGUUUUUGGACUCCUUUGGGUGGGAGGAGAGUUUCCUAAUUUGUUCUCUGUUUCUAGGAUAUUUUGCAAGGUAAAAUAUUGAUGUGAUGAUGAUGAUGACAGGAGGGGUAUCGAGAUCAGGUCAUGAUGAUGACAUAAAUAUAUCUUCACUGGAAUCAGGCUUCUUGAAGUGAAACAGCUUGAUGAGUACUUUUGUAUGUUUAUUCAUUUUUGUGAAUGAUGUUCUGUAUUCAAUUGUUAGUCCUUGAAUUUGAGGUUGUUACAUUCACAAAUAUGAAUAUGUAUUUAGUGGAGGAACCUUCUGUUGUACAUAUACAUUGGUUAUUAAUCACGAUCUUAUAUAUUAUCUCUA